GUGAGAUUUGCGAAAUACGUUUCUUACAAUUUCAACUACAAUACACAUGUUUUUGCAUUGUCUUGAAAUGACAGAAGCCUGAUUGAUAAAGUCAAAAUUUUUACACCUUUAUGCAACGAUUCAUAAUGUUUUUCUCGCAUACAUAUUCCUUUAGUAACUGACUGAGAAAAUUAAUGUACUUUCCCAAACAUCAAAUAAUGGAAACAAAAGUAUUAAUUAAUAAUGCAAAAAUCACGCGGCUACGUGUUGGAGAUUGACUGGACUGCAGAGUCGGUCAAGGUCACACUGGAUCUUUUUAAGCCAGUGCAUCUGGGGUAUUAGUUUAUAAUAUUUCUUGUACUUUAUUAAUCAGCAUGUAUUGGCACCUGCACUUAUAGUUUUAAUUAGUUUCUAAUAUUUGCGCACUCGAGAAUAGAGAUCUUGUUGAAAAGUGUUAAGCCG